UCCAUGGGCAUGAGAUGUGAGUCCAGCUG
rnacentral:piRNA from 1 species